rnacentral:lncRNA from 1 species
GAUGAAAUAAGUUCGUUAAGAUUUAAAGAUGUAGUUAUACAUGACAAUUAUUUGAUUUUGUAUAUUAACAAAAGUAAAACCGAUCAGUAUCGUCAAGGAAACGAAAUUCUCAUUUCGAAAGGUUUAUCCAUAGCUUGUCCAUAUGUUAUGUUCAGAAGAUAUUUAGAAUUAGCCAAUUUCGAUUUUGACUCCAAUAAAUAUUUAUUCAGACAGAUUUGCAGAUCAGGCAAUAAUUGUAAACUUAUAGAUAAAGAUAAAAAGCUAAGCUAUACGGCGG